AGGAUAUGGGCCUUCCUUGAAAGACAGCUGAGGGAGAUCAGUACAGAAAUACUUGACAUCUUGCAAAACAGGCCAAAAAAAGAUGAUCAAAUGCAAAUGAGGAAAGGUGGGCAAAGGUCUGCUUUCGGGUUAUGUUUCUUCAGCAAAAGGACUAGCUUCAAAAUGCGUCUGCUAGCAUCACUGAUCCACCACAUCAAGCUCUUUGGCAUCGUCUCUUUGUAUCUCCUCCUCAUGGAAUCCUGUCUGGUCCAGCUUUACUAAAUGCACAUAAAUACCUACAUCUCACGGGCACACCAGGGAGGGCAUGGACUGCAAUGCUGGUUUGGAGACUCUUCAGGGGAACCCUUUAAAGUCUCUGGAAGGAGACCAAAAAUAACCUGAAAGGACUGGCAAUGGCCUACUGCACGCUGCCUUUGGUGCAAACAACUAAUCAGAGCAUGCGUACUUAGCAAUAAGCAAGCCCCAAAAUUAUUUAAUGAGAAGGGCUUACUAUAUAUUGAAGGAAAGGACCCCAAAUCCCUAAAGAGCUGUUCUCACUAGCAGGAGAGUGAUAAGAAGCCACAUGGAUCUAAUCUUGCGAGACAGUAUUACAUAUCAGAUGAUACUUUUAAUGUGUUCAAUUACUGUAGCAUUUAAAAAACAAGCAUCAGCAAAAGAUAAAUUGUCUGUACAGUUAUGUUUCAUUUAUAUAGGUAAUUUUUCACGAGAUUGCUGUACCCCAAAUGUGUUUGAAAGGCUUCUGUUUCUAAUUUGCAUGCAAUGCACCCUUUAUACACCUCAAAUGCUUUCUUGACAAGGCAAUGAUGGUCUAAUUGAGAUCAGACCAAGUUCCAGCAUUCUGGGGUUUUCAAAU